ACUCCUACGGGAGGCAGCAGUGGGGAAUAUUGCGCAAUGGGCGAAAGCCUGACGCAGCAACGCCGCGUGCGGGAUGAAGGCCUUCGGGUUGUAAACCGCUUUCAGCAGGGAAGAAGCGAAAGUGACGGUACCUGCAGAAGAAGCACCGGCUAACUACGUGCCAGCAGCCGCGGUAAU
rnacentral:rRNA from 1 species